rnacentral:rRNA from 1 species
UACAGAGGGUGCGAGCGUUGUUCGGAAUUAUUGGGCGUAAAGGGCGCGUGGGCGGCGCGGUAUGUCACCUGUGAAAUCUCUUGGCUCAACUGGGAGCUUGCAGGCGAAACUGCCGUGCUGGAGUGUGGGAGAGGUGCGUGGAAUUCCUGGUGUAGCGGUGAAAUGGGUAGAUAUCAGGAGGAACACCUGUGGCGAAAGCGGCGCACUGGACCACAACUGACGCUGAGGCGCGAAAGCUAGGGGAGCAAACAGG